rnacentral:rRNA from 1 species
AUUGAACGCUGGCGGCAGGCUUAACACAUGCAAGUCGAGCGGAGAUGAGGUGCUUGCACCUUAUCUUAGCGGCGGACGGGUGAGUAAUGCUUAGGAAUCUGCCAUUUAGUGGGGGACAACAUUCCGAAAGGAAUGCUAAUACCGCAUAUGUCCUACGGGAGAAAGCAGGGGAUCUUCGGACCUUGCGCUAAAUGAUGAGCCUAAGUCGGAUUAGCUAGUUGGUGGGGUAAAGGCCCACCAAGGCGACGAUCUGUAGCGGGUCUGCGAGGAUGGUCCGCAACACUGGGACUGAGACGCGGCCCAGACUCCUACGGGAGGCAGCAGUGGGGAAUAUUGGACAAUGGGCGGAAGCCUGAUCCAGCCAUGCCGCGUGUGUGAAGAAGGCCUUUUGGUUGUAAAGCACUUUAAGCGAGGAGGAGGCUACUAGUACUAAUACUACUGGAUAGUGGACGUUACUCGCAGAAUAAGCACCGGCUAACUCUGUGCCAGCAGCCGCCGUAAAAC